CUACGGGAGGCAGCAGUAAGGAAUAUUGGACAAUGGGCGCAAGCCUGAUCCAGCCAUGCCGCGUGGGUGAAGAAGGCCUUCGGGUUGUAAAGCCCUUUUGUUGGGAAAGAAAAGCAGUCGGUUAAUACCCGAUUGUUCUGACGGUACCCAAAGAAUAAGCACCGGCUAACUUCGUGCCAGCAGCCGCGGUAAU
rnacentral:rRNA from 1 species